rnacentral:rRNA from 1 species
UAGGGAAUAUUGCACAAUGGGGAAACCCUGAUGCAGCGACGCCGCGUGAAGGAAGAAGUAUCUCGGUAUGUAAACUUCUAUCAGCAGGGAAGACAAUGACGGUACCUGACUAAGAAGCCCCGGCUAACUACGUGCCAGCAGCCGCGGUAAUACGUAGGGGGCAAGCGUUAUCCGGAUUUACUGGGUGUAAAGGGAGCGUAGACGGAUCUGCAAGUCUGGAGUGAAAGCCCGGGCUACCCUGGAACCGUGCUUUGGAAACUGUGGAUCUGGAGUGCCGGAGAGGUAAGCGGAAUUCCUAGUGUAGCGGUGAAAUGCGUAGAUAUUAGGAGGAACACCAGUGGCGAAGGCGGCUUACUGGACGGUAACUGACGUUGAGGCUCGAAAAGCGUGGGGAGCAAACAGGAUUAGAUACCC